ACGGAGGGUGCAAGCGUUAUUCGGAUUUAUUGGGCGUAAAGGGCGCGUAGGCGGCUUUUUAAGUCAGAUGUGAAAUCCCGUGGCUUAACUACGGAACUGCAUUUGAAACUGGGAGGCUUGAGUAUGGGAGAGGUAAACGGAAUUCCUAGUGUAGCGGUGAAAUGCGUAGAUAUUAGGAGGAACACCAGUGGCGAAGGCGACUUACUGGACCGAUACUGACGCUGAGGCACGAAAGCGUGGGGAUCAAACAG
rnacentral:rRNA from 1 species